rnacentral:rRNA from 1 species
CCGGCGUCGGCGGGCGUAUUUCGCCUCACAGUAGGUCGCCGCGACCCGUUGCUUUUGGGGACGUCGAAGGCCCGGACGGAUUGGUACCCUACCGGCUGGGGAUGCGGCUUCGGCUUCUCCUCUUGUCCGGUGGGCGAAACCGCCGGUGUCCUGGCUGCCCUGCGACGGUCGUAGAGACGAGCCCUCCCCUUCGGGGGGGCGGCUCUCGCGGCGUGCAAAAGGUCGGUGAUCCACCCGACCCGUCUUGAAACACGGACCAAGGAGUCUAACAUGUGUGCGAGUCAGUGGGCGCACUAAACCCAGAGGCGUAAUGAAAGUGACACGGGUUCGGCUGUCGCCUCGUGUGGCAGCCGGACUCAGGGCCGAUCCCUCACCGGUUGCCCUCGCCUCUCUCCCGCGUCUCGGUAAGCCGGGUGAGCUAUUUUCCCCGGCCGCUGCUGCGGGGCUCGGGGGGAGGCGGGGUGCGAUGGUGUCUGUAAAAAAGAGCCUGCUGUUGCAGGGGGGCGCAGGCCCGGGACUUGCCAGGACGCCGCGAGACUGUCACUUUGCUGUGAGGCUCUCGGGCCGAUCAGCGGGUCAUGCGUGCAGUCGGCAAGUACCAUGAGCAGACAUGUUGGGACCCGAAAGAUGGUGAACUAUGCCUGGCCAGGAUGAAGCCAGAGGAAACUCUGGUGGAGGUCCGUAGCGA